GAUGAACGCUGGCGGCGUGCCUAAUACAUGCAAGUCGAGCGAACAGAUGAGGAGCUUGCUCCUCUGACGUUAGCGGCGGACGGGUGAGUAACACGUGGAUAACCUACCUAUAAGACUGGGAUAACUUCGGGAAACCGGAGCUAAUACCGGAUAAUAUAUUGAACCGCAUGGUUCAAUAGUGAAAGACGGUUUUGCUGUCACUUAUAGAUGGAUCCGCGCCGCAUUAGCUAGUUGGUAAGGUAACGGCUUACCAAGGCAACGAUGCGUAGCCGACCUGAGAGGGUGUGGGGCCACAGGACAGCGGAACCGCGCCCGAGACUCCCGGGGGGGGCAGCGGGGGAGAUUUCCCCAAGGGGGGAAAAACUCUGCGGGAAAAGCGCCGGGAGGGAGAAAGGUUUCUGGGGCUCAAAAACCUCUUUUAUUGGGAAAGAAAAAAUGUAUAAGAAACUAGGCGCGUGUUGGGGACCUAUAAAGAAAGACCCGCGCAUCAACGC
rnacentral:rRNA from 1 species